rnacentral:rRNA from 1 species
AGGAGAGUUUGAUCCUGGCUCAGAACGAACGCUGGCGGCAGGCCUAACACAUGCAAGUCGAACGUGAAGCAGGAGCUUGCUCCUGUGGAAAGUGGCAGACGGGUGAGUAACGCGUGGGAAUCUACCCAGCUCUACGGAAUAACGCAGGGAAACUUGUGCUAAUACCGUAUACGUCCUCCGGGAGAAAGAUUUAUCGGAGUUGGAUGAGCCCGCGUUAGAUUAGUUUGUUGGUGGGGUAACGGCCUACCAAGACUACGAUCUAUAGCUGGUCUGAGAGGAUGAUCAGCCACACUGGGACUGAGACACGGCCCAGACUCCUACGGGAGGCAGCAGUGGGGAAUAUUGCACAAUGGGCGCAAGCCUGAUGCAGCCAUGCCGCGUGAGUGAAGAAGGCCUUAGGGUUGUAAAACUCUUUCACCGGUGAAGAUAAUGACGGUAGCCGGAGAAGAAGCCCCGGCUAACUCCGUGCCAGCAGCCGCGGUAAUACGGAGGGGGCAAGCGUUGUUCGGAAUUACUGGGCGUAAAGCGCGCGUAGGCGGACUGGUCAGUUGGGGGUGAAAUCCCGAGGCUCAACCUCGGAACUGCCCUCAAUACUGCCAGUCUAGAGUUCGGAAGAGGUAAGUGGAAUUCCUAGUGU